rnacentral:rRNA from 1 species
GUGCCAGCCGCCGCGGUAAGACGGAGGAUGCAAGCGUUAUCCGGAAUGAUUGGGCGUAAAGCGUCCGCAGGUGGCAAUUCAAGUCUGCUGUUAAAGCGCAGGGCUUAACUCUGUAAAGGCAGUGGAAACUGAAUAGCUAGAGUGUGGUAGGGGCAGAGGGAAUUCCCAGUGUAGCGGUGAAAUGCGUAGAGAUUGGGAAGAACAUCGGUGGCGAAGGCGCUCUGCUGGACCAUAACUGACACUCACAGGACGAAAGCUAGGGGAGCGAAUGGGAUUAGAUACCCCAGUAGUCCUAGCCGUAAACGAUGGAUACUAGGUGUUGUCUGUAUCGACCCGGACAGUGCCGUAGCUAACGCGUUAAGUAUCCCGCCUGGGGAGUACGCACGCAAGUGUGAAACUUAAAUGAAUUGACGGGG